rnacentral:rRNA from 1 species
AACGAACGCUGGCGGCAGGCCUAACACAUGCAAGUCGAGCGAACCCUUCGGGGUUAGCGGCGGACGGGUGAGUAACGCGUGGGAACGUGCCCUUUGCUACGGAAUAGCCCUGGGAAACUGGGAGUAAUACCGUAUGUGCCCUACGGGGGAAAGAUUUAUCGGCAAAGGAUCGGCCCGCGUUGGAUUAGGUAGUUGGUGGGGUAAUGGCCUACCAAGCCGACGAUCCAUAGCUGGUUUGAGAGGAUGAUCAGCCACACUGGGACUGAGACACGGCCCAGACUCCUACGGGAGGCAGCAGUGGGGAAUCUUGAACAAUGGGCGCAAGCCUGAUCUAGCCAUGCCGCGUGAGCGAUGAAGGCCUUAGGGUUGUAAAGCUCUUUCGCCUGGGAAGAUAAUGACGGUACCAGGUAAAGAAGCCCCGGCUAACUCCGUGCCAGCAGCCGCCGUAACAC